GGGGGGAGAAGUCGAGCGAGAGGAAGAAGUUGAGUGCUCUGUUUUCAGAUUUGAAAACAGAGCAUUACAUUUCUUUUGUUUUUUUAUUAUUUGUUUUAGUUGUUUUUCUUUUAAAUGUUAUAUUUUUAAUUGGUGUUUAAUCGUUCUGUUUUGGGUAUCAUGUUGUUCUUAUUUAUUUAUUUUUAUUUUGAUUGAGAGUAAUGUUUUUAGUAAGAGUUUUAUUUUGAGAGCAUGUUGUCUUGGGGUUUUUAGUUUUAGUUUAAUAGAGAGAUCUAUUUAUGC
rnacentral:lncRNA from 1 species